UUUUGAGCCAAACUCCACUGAUAAGCCUGGCUUCCUUAGGGGCAGCAUUUCUCAGGCAAACAAGUUUAGAAGUCAUUUGGGAAGAAAUAUUUCUUUCCUCUGACAUGAGCGGCUAGGUGGAAAAGAUGAGUACACAUUUGCUUUGGGAGCAAGAAGUGCUGAGCUUAAUGCCUAUCAUCUCUUAGAGAUGAUGAUGUAUUAUAUAUAUCCAUAAAAUCACUGUAGCUGCUUGCUUUUUCCAGGGGGUCAGAGUACACACUCUUUAUCUUCAAAUGUCUGUUUUUUAGUCUGGCUAUAUCUUGAAAUCUGUUUUGAAUACAGCUCAGAUAGGAAGGCUUUUGUUAAGCACGUAGUGACUCACCUUCAAGCACAACAGAACACCAGGACAGCAGCCUGACCUUUGUAGUAAAAUUAAUUUGAUGCUUAUAAUCUAACCUAGAGUCCAUAGCUUUUAUUUAUAUGACAGAGUCACAAGACAAAUUAGCAGGGAUUAUUAAAUUCCACUUAAGCUCAUUAGAGGAGAAUUGAGGUUGAUGAAUUUCAGGAUACUGGUGAGUUGGCCAAAAACAUGGGAAAGGAAAGGAAUAUAGACUUCUAGGAAUAAAGUGAAAGAGGCUACCCUUAGUGCACAGUGGGCACUCAGUGAGAAGUGAUACAGUGAAUGAGGCAAGGGUAAGACAAAUGUGAUGUCUGACACCCAGGAAGCCCCUUUCCUACCUCCCACUGAUGCAUCUUCAAUCCCUAUGAGCUUCUCACACAGGGAAGCCAUUUGGCAAGUGCCAGAGACCCCAGCAUGAAGCUGGAAGGUGAGUGGGUUAAUGAUGGUAUCAGGCAUGUCAGCCUGUAUUCCCCUUCCCAUUUGAGCUGGUGGUAGGAUGUCUGGAGCAGAAGACUGCUAAUGAGAAAUGAAGAGAGUCAAAUGGAUACCAACAAACUAAGAAGAUGGCUAAGAGAUGGCUGAGAACUUCAAAGAGGAGAAUUUCUAUUGGGUUUCCAGAAAGUUUCUCCAACAGCAGUCCCAACUCCAGCAGGACCCAGGAGGAGAACUGAACAUUUUCCAGUCUGGAGGUUCUCUGGAGGUUCUCCUGUACAACAGGAAGUAUGAUGACAUUGUACCUUUCCAAGACAUACUUAACGCUAGUAUGAUUCUCUAAAUGGUUAUCAGUACUUAUAUGAAUAAUUAACUGGGUACCUGCGAUAUAUCCUCUGCUGGGUUGUAAGAACUUUGAGGGCAGGGUGGUACCUUAUAUACUGUUAACUAUGCUCUGGAAUAUGACCUAGUGAAUGGACAAGCAGUGGAGUUUUAUUUCCUUCAAUUUGCUGACAGCACUGUAAUGCCUGACAAUAAUUGUGGCGCACACUAUUUACUGGUUAUUUUUUUAAAGUAAAAAUGCUUUCCCCAACUUUUAUACAGAUUUUCAAGUUCAUCUUGCUAAUAUUUUCUAAAUUAAUUUCUUCUUUCACUAACUGAUCUUAGCCUACAUAAGAGCAUUAAACUCUAAUCGGGGUUCUCUGGUUAGCCGGUUGGUUCUGUCUAUAAAAACGAUCUCAAGUCACAGGAAUAAGAUCAGGGGAAUUAGGGAUGAUACGCAAAGUAUUCAAACACCAGUAUGGCAUGAGUAACCAAAUAGAACCUCACCACUGGAAUCAGAUCAGAUCAGAUCAGAUCAGUCGCUCAGUCGUGUCCGACUCUUUGCGUCCCCAGGGCCCAGGAAAUCCCUUGUUGUGCCAGAGGUCAACUUAUUAUUGCUAGACUGUGGGAAGCCUGGAGGAUACCAGAAGGGUCAGGCAGUCAUUUAGGAGGUAUCUGAACAGUGAUUAUCUAUUAGCAGGAAUGGCUGGUGAUCACUUACGGGCACCUGACAAUACCUAUUUACCAACUGGAACAGAAGCUUUUGAAUAUUUUAAAACUAGUAUGCCCAGCUAGUGCACACUGGCUGAAUAUCAGUCAGGAGGUUGUGGACUACCUUCACUGGGGCAUGCAGCAUAAUAAGCAGAUAGUCCUACCCACAGCUGCAGUCUUCUGAAGUAAUCUGUUUUAAUGUUCCAGGAAACCAUUGUGAUAAAAGUUACUCCUUAUGUUAAGCCACAAUACAAAAAAAAAAAACACACACAAAAACCCUUUCUAUAGAAAUAUUCAUUUAUGUCCUCUUAUUCUGUUUUAUGAACUUCUAAUCACUUUUUAUGUGUUAAACAU
rnacentral:lncRNA from 1 species